UUCAAUGGCUCAUACGUGAGCAUCAUAAAGUCCAUGAAACAGUCAGUAGGAUCCUCAUUCCUAAAUGUAGCCAGUGAACAAGUGCUGUCUCUAUUAGUUUGAAAAAGUAAGUUUUUGGAUCCCAAAAACCAACUUCACAUUCACCAACAAAUAAAUGUCUUCCCAUCACCCAGGAAUAUGUUAGAGUAUAUCUAGAACUAAGCAGUGAUUUGCUGAGCUCUUACUAUAUGUCUAUCACUGGAUAAGACAGUAUGGAGGACCUGGAUAAAAAUGAAGAGUUUUCUCCUGAGACAAGUGAGAAGCUGAAAUAUUUUCAGCCAAAAGGAAUGCUAUUAAAAAGAUGCUGAGGACUAUAACAUGAAAGCUGAAGAGGGAUACUUUCUCACAAGCAGAUCCAAAGCUGAAUGAGGAAAGUAGACUGCUUUACACCCUAGAAGAUGAACAUUUAUUCCUUCUGUA